rnacentral:misc_RNA from 1 species
CAGAGUUGCAAGACUCCCUAAACCACUGUGAACCUACCUUCUACCGUUGCUUCGGCGGGCGGGCCCAGCGCCCCCCCGGCCCCCCGCGGGCGCCCGCCGGAGGAUACCCAAACUCUUGACAUUAGUGGCCUCUCUGAGUAUUCUUUACUGAAUAAGUCA